GCCUGGCUGACUCAGUUGGUAAUGUAUGUGACUUUUGAUCUCAAGGUUGUGAGUUCAAGCCCCAUGUUGGGUA
rnacentral:tRNA from 1 species